rnacentral:rRNA from 1 species
UACGUAGGUCCCGAGCGUUGUCCGGAUUUAUUGGGCGUAAAGCGAGCGCAGGUGGUUUAUUAAGUCUGGUGUAAAAGGCAGUGGCUCAACCAUUGUAUGCAUUGGAAACUGGUAGACUUGAGUGCAGGAGAGGAGAGUGGAAUUCCAUGUGUAGCGGUGAAAUGCGUAGAUAUAUGGAGGAACACCGAUGGCGAAAGCGGCUCUCCGGCCUGUAACUGACACUGAGGCUCGAAAGCGUGGGGAGCAAACAGG